CUGCUGCCUCCCGUAGGAGUCUGGUCCGUGUCUCAGUACCAGUGUGGGGGACCUUCCUCUCAGAUCCCCUACGCAUCGUCGUCUUGGUGGUCCGUUACACCGCCAACUAACUAAUGCGACGCAUGCCCAUCCGCCACCGGAAUUAACCUUUGGCACCAACAGGAUGUCCCGUCGAUGCAUUAUGCCGUAUUAGACGGAAUUUCUCCCGAUUAUCCGGCUGUGGCAGGCAGGUUGCAUACGUGUUACUCA
rnacentral:rRNA from 1 species